rnacentral:rRNA from 1 species
GACCAAAAGAUAGAGUUAUAUUGUAUAGGUAAAAAGAUAGUUAAGUUUUAUGUUUUAAAGUUUAAUAAUUUUUUAUAAAAAGGUAAAAUUUGAAUAUAAAAAGCUAAUUUAUUGAAAGCUGUAAUACUGAAGCUAUGAUAAUUUUGAGGGAAACUGGGAUUAGAUACCCCAUUAUUCAUAAAUUGUAAAUAGAUGUUAAAUUUACCAGAGUACUAUGAAUAAAUAAGAAUUUAAAACUCAAAGGGCUUGGCGGUGUUUUAGACCAAUUAGGGGAACCUGUCUCAUAAUCGACAGUCCGCGUUAUACCUAACCUUUUUUUGUGAUCAGUUUGUAUACCGUUGUCGUCAGGUAACUUUUAAAAAUAAAGAAGUUGGCAAUAUUAACAGUUGGUUAGUUAAGACGUCAGAUCAAGGUGCAGCUUAUAAAGAGGGGAGGAUGGGUUACAAUUAUUAGAUUAAUAAUUACGGAUAGUUUACUGAAAAAAUCUUGAAGGAGGACUUAAAAGUAAUGUUGUAAUAUAUAAAUAAUUUGAAUUAGGCUCUGAAACGUGC